AACACAACUAAUAAAUCUUUGGCAACUCAAGGUCAUUCUACAGAGAAACUGGGGAUCCUGAAACAUCAAGUGGGAAAUUUAAUGGAGUGUAAGCAACUACUCAGCAGGAAGGAGCCUGAACUUCUUAAAGUGAUUAGCCAAGCUGAACAGAUUAUAAAAGAAAAUGUUGAAACACAAGAUGAUAAGUUGAAUGAUGCAUCAGCUUAACUAAUUCAGAAACUUAAAUCAAGCACCACUGACCAAAAAGCUAGAUUUAAAAAGGUCAACACAGAAGCUGACAGUCGUGUAGAGAUGUACAGCCAGAUGAGUAACCAUUUAAGCAAAUUGUAUUUGGACAUGGAAGAUAACAAAUGGCUGAAUAAUAGUUUGGAAAGAACUAAAGACCUUCAGUUGCCAUCAGUGGCAUUAGAUUUUCAACUAAAAUUAAUUAAGGUUGGUUACU
rnacentral:sRNA from 1 species